AGCGGCGGACGGGUGAGUAACGCGUGGGUAACCUGCCCUAUACACACGGAUAACAUACCGAAAGGUAUGCUAAUACGAGAUGAUAUAAGAGAUUCGCAUGGAUUUCUUAUCAAAGCUGAGGCGGUAUAGGAUGGACCCGCGUCUGAUUAGCUAGUUGGUAAGGUAACGGCUUACCAAGGCGACGAUCAGUAGCCGACCUGAGAGGGUGAUCGGCCACAUUGGAACUGAGACACGGUCCAAACUCCUACGGGAGGCAGCAGUGGGGAAUAUUGCACAAUGGGCGAAAGCCUGAUGCAGCAACGCCGCGUGAGUGAUGAAGGGCUUCGGGUCGUAAAACUCUGUCCUCAAGGAAGAUAAUGACGGUACUUGAGGAGGAAGCCCCGGCUAACUACGUGCCAGCAGCCGCGGUAAUACGUAGGGGGCUAGCGUUAUCCGGAUUUACUGGGCGUAAAGGGUGCGUAGGUGGUCUCUUAAGUCAGGAGUGAAAGGCUACGGCUUAACCGUAGUAAGCUCUUGAAACUGAGAGACUUGAGUGCAGGAGAGGAAAGUGGAAUUCCUAGUGUAGCGGUGAAAUGCGUAGAUAUUAGGAGGAACACCAGUAGCGAAGGCGGCUUUCUGGACUGUAACUGACACUGGGGCACGAAAGCGUGGGGAGCAAACAGGAUUAGAUACCCUGGUAGUCCACGCCGUAAACGAUGAGUACUAGGUGU
rnacentral:rRNA from 1 species